rnacentral:sRNA from 1 species
UAUUCUGCCCCACGGGGAAGGAUGAGAAGCUUCGACUAAGGUUCGACUCGAGCGAAGCGAGAGAACGUUGCCGCAGGCAACGGCCCGAAGGGCGAGGAGCGUUAGCGCCGAGUUAUCCUUCCCCCACCACCA